rnacentral:tRNA from 1 species
GGAGAGGUGGCUGAGUGGUUUAAGGCAACAGCUUGAAAAGGCUGUAUGCGUGUUUGUCAACGCAUCGGAGGUUCGAAUCCUUCCCCUCUCCGCCA